UCAAAGUUGGCCAAUUUUCUCAAGUUCCCCAACCACAGAAAAAUCUCUCUGACCUUCUGGGUCUGGCAACUGAAGGACUAUGCUGGCUCAUGCAGCAGCUGAAGAUACAAUGCUGUCCUGUGUUAUAGUCAAGGACAAACCUCUGCCUCCAAUGAAACUACCCAUGGAGCAGGUAGCUGAUGUAAUGUGACCUCAGCUCCUGGUACCAUAAUGGACUCCAUCGCCUCCAACCCCAUUAUGCCACCCUUCUUUCUUAGAGUUGCUAUUGUGAGAUAUAUGGUCACAGCCCUGAGAAAAGUAAUUAAUAUAUUAUGCUUCUUCUUGAUGUGUAUUCCAUUUCUGCAUCUGGUUCAGGCAGCAGGGGAUGCCAGAGAGCUCUACUAGUUUCGAGCCCCAAGCCUGACUCUCUUUUCAAAUUAUUAGACAACAUCUUGCCUCUUCAACUAUUUCCCAACCACCUCUCAAUCAGUGCCCUGCUCAUCCAUCAUUAGAGAAACAUCCUCCUGCAGCAGAAAGGAACAAAUACAGAGACCCACAGCCAGCUCUGAGUUCUCUGCUUUCAGACCCAGGUCCAAUGUGAACAGCCACUGCUGCAUACUCUUCUUCUAUGAGCUGUGUUCAUCUUGAGAUUCUCCGGAAAAGACAACUCCACCGUUUUGAGACAAAUUUGAAGCAAGCUUUAUUAAAUAUUAAAUACUGAUCAAGAGA